AGACAGGUGAAACAGAUCAGGAUGUGACAGAUACAUUACAGAAUUACACAGAGUAUAUGACUAUCAUCAAUAGGCUAAAACAACAUGGUAACAUGUUUUCAAAUUAUGAACCGAUUCACUCAACCUGAAUUAACAUUUCUUUGCACUUUGCUAGUUAAAACAAAAGACAAGAAAACAGCCAGAUUCUGAAAGGUUUUUGGGUUUCCGGACUUCACUGCCGAGAGAUUGCAAAGAAUACUGUCCAAAAAUGAAAGAAGAAGAAGGAUGUUUUUGACAGUGCCUAAUGCUUCAGAAGACUGGAAAGAGGGUGGACCUCAUCGGACCCUUCAUGAAAUCCAGGAAUGGCAACAGCUGGUGUCUGACGAGGACCGAUUACUUUAUGAAGUGAGUGGAGGCAAUACUCAUUAAGGACAAGACUGGCGAGGCCACCUUCAAGGCGAUGGACAUCUUCAACACCCACGAUUCUCCUGAGGUCAUCUUGAGGUCAUGAACUCUAGAACCAGGUUUGGAUGAACGGACCAACCAGACACUCAAGACUGCCAUGGGCAAGUCCCUUGACGGUUACCAGGAAUGGUGGGAGGACAACCUGAAGGUAAUUGUCUUUGCACACAACAGCAGCAUCCAGGCCUCCCAGAGUACUCACCCUAUCGACUGCUGUAUGGACGGGAGCUGCAGCUGUUUACUGAGGUUGUCGCGACUUCCACCGAGGUCGGUCCCUCUCCUUGUUCAGGCAGAGUUCGGCAGUCGACGUCACCGGUCUUCUAGCCAUCGCCGAUCCACCUUUCAUUUUCCAUUUGUUUUGUCUUGUUUUCCCGCACACCUGGUUUGCAUUCCCUAAAUACUCGUAAUCUGUUUGUUAAUUGUUAUAUGUAAAUGUAUGUGUAUGUUACGCCCUGGCCAUAGAUAGGCUUUUAAUUCUCUAUUUUGGUUAGGCCAGGGUGUGACUAGGGUGGGCAUUCUAUGUCCUUUUUUCUGUUUUUGUAUGUCGUUGUUUUUGGCCGGGUAUGGUUCUCAAUCAGGGACAGCUGUCUGUCGUUGUCUCUGAUUGAGAACCAUACUUAGGUAGCUCUUGCCCACAUGGGUUUUAUGGGUAGUUGUUUUCUGUUUUGUGUAUUGCAACUUGCAGAACUGUUCAGUUGUUGUUUUUGUUCAAGUGUUCUUAUUUAUUAAACACAUUAUGAAUACUUA